CCCUCCUAGAAAGGAGUAUCGGUGGUUUCCUGUCCUUGGACAUGUAAGAAUUAGAGGCAAAAAUAUGUGGACUUGGAGAAGUCUAGAGCCCGCUUGCUCCCCACAGGCUCAAGCUCAUCCUUUCCCACACAG
rnacentral:snoRNA from 1 species